rnacentral:rRNA from 1 species
AAAUGAAUAGACGGGAGCCCGCACAAGCAGUGGAGCGUGUGGUUUAAUUCGACGCAACGCGCAGAACCUUACCAGGGUUUGACAUCAUGCUGCCGUUUGUGGAAACACAAAUUUUCGUAGCGAUACGAACGGCAUGACAGGUGUUGCAUGGUUGUCGUCAGCUCGUGUCGUGAGAUGUUGGGUUAAGUCCCGCAACGAGCGCAACCCCUAUCCCGUGUUGCCAGCGGUUCGGCCGGGGACUCACUGGAGACUGCCGGAGACGAUCCGGAGGAAGGUGGGGAUGACGUCAAAUCAUCAUGGCCCUUAUGCCCUGGGCUACACACGCGCUACAAUGGUCAAUACAACGGGCAGCGAAGGAGCGAUCCGGAGCGAAUCCCACAAAAUUGGCCUUAGUUGGGAUCGCAGGCUGCAACUCGCCUGCGUGAACGCGGAAUUGCUAGUAAUCGCGAAUCAGCUACGUCGCGGUGAAUACGUUCCCGGGCUUUGUACACACCGCCCGU